rnacentral:rRNA from 1 species
UACGAAGGGAGUUAGCGUUGUUCGGAAUCACUGGGCGUAAAGCGCACGUAGGCGGAUUUGUCAGUCAGGGGUGAAAUCCCGGGGCUCAACCUCGGAACUGCCUUUGAUACAGCAAGUCUUGAGUUCGAGAGAGGUGGGUGGAAUUCCUAGUGUAGAGGUGAAAUUCGUAGAUAUUAGGAAGAACACCGGUGGCGAAGGCGGCCCACUGGCUCGAUACUGACGCUGAGGUGCGAAAGCGUGGGGAGCAAACAGG